UGGGCAACCCACCGAUUCGUGGGGGAUAGCCGGCCCAACGGCCGGGUAAUACCGCAUACGCUUGUAAGGCCUCCUGGUCUAACAAGGAAACCUCCGGGGCCCCAAAUCGAGGGGCUCGCGGCCUAUCAGCUAGUUGGCGAGGUCACGGCUCACCAAGGCGACGACGGGUAGCUGGUCUGAGAGGAUGGCCAGCCACAUUGGGACUGAGAAACGGCCCAGACUCCUACGGGAGGCAG
rnacentral:rRNA from 1 species